GUGGGGAAUAUUGCGCAAUGGGGGAAACCCUGACGCAGCGACGCCGCGUGGGCGAUGAAGGUCUUCGGAUCGUAAAGCCCUGUCGAGCGGGACGAAGUGUACGGGCUCUAACAUAGCUCGUGCUUGACGGUACCGUUAAAGGAAGCCCCGGCUAACUCCGUGCCAGCAGCCGCGGUAAUACGGAGGGGGCUAGCGUUAUUCGGAAUCAUUGGGCGUAAAGGGCGUGUAGGCGGCUUGGUGUGUCCCGUGUGGAAGCCCUCGGCUCAACCGAGGAAUUGCAUGGGAAACUGCCGGGCUUGAGUCCGGGAGAGGAGAGCGGAAUUCCCAGUGUAGCGGUGAAAUGCGUAGAUACUGGGAGGAACACCGGUGGCGAAGGCGGCUCUCUGGACCGGUACUGACGCUGAGACGCGAAAGCUAGGGGAGCAAACGGGAUUAGAUACCCGUGUAGUCC
rnacentral:rRNA from 1 species